ACUCCUGCGGGAGGCAGCAGUGAGGAAUAUUGGACAAUGGGUGGAAGCCUGAUCCAGCCAUCCCGCGUGCAGGAAGACGGCCCUAUGGGUUGUAAACUGCUUUUAUCUGGGGAUAAACCUACUUACGUGUAAGUAGCUGAAGGUACCAGAAGAAUAAGCACCGGCUAACUCCGUGCCAGCAGCCGCGGUAAUACGGAGGGUGCAAGCGUUAUCCGGAUUUAUUGGGUUUAAAGGGUCCGUAGGCGGACUGAUAAGUCAGUGGUGAAAUCCGACAGCUUAACUGUCGAACUGCCAUUGAUACUGUUAGUCUUGAGUAAGGUUGAAGUGGCUGGAAUAAGUAGUGUAGCGGUGAAAUGCAUAGAUAUUACUUAGAACACCAAUUGCGAAGGCAGGUCACUAAGUCUUAACUGACGCUGAUGGACGAAAGCGUGGGGAGCGAACAGUAUUAGAUACCCCAGUAGUCCCA
rnacentral:rRNA from 1 species